rnacentral:rRNA from 1 species
UACGUAGGGUCCGAGCGUUGUCCGGAAUUAUUGGGCGUAAAGGGCUCGUAGGCGGUUUGUCGCGUCGGGAGUGAAAACUCCGGGCUUAACCCGGUGCUUGCUUUCGAUACGGGCAGACUGGAGGUAUGCAGGGGAGAACGGAAUUCCUGGUGUAGCGGUGAAAUGCGCAGAUAUCAGGAGGAACACCGGUGGCGAAGGCGGUUCUCUGGGCAUGACCUGACGCUGAGGAGCGAAAGUGUGGGGAGCGAACAGG